GGAGACGUGCUAGAGUGGUUGAAUAGGCCGCACUCGAAAUGCGGUAUACCGGAAACGGUAUCGGAGGUUCGAAUCCUCCCGUCUCCG
rnacentral:tRNA from 1 species